AACCAAAGUGUUGAGUUCAGGUCAGGGUGAUUGCCCCUGUUCUGGUAAUUAAACUUUGGAACAGUGAAUGGCUGGGAAACAUGCCAUGGUGGCUGGAAGCUUUCUUAAGUCACCUGUGUUUUUCAGCCUACAAGC
ensembl:snoRNA